UGGUCAACACAUUUGAAGAAGCAGUCACUUCUUCCAGACUUUAUGGACUGACUUAGGCCAUAUCCCUUCCACUCAUUCUAUGCCUUCAGAAAACACAGGAAGCCUUGAAGAUAGAGGAAACCAGGAGUUACAGAAAGGAGCAAGAGAAUUCCUGAUUUGUAGCAAUGUCACAGACAAGUGGUACUGAAAGAAAUUACAGAAAGUGUUUGAGAAGGCAAGUUACCAGAGAGGAAGAACAUAAGGCAGCAAAUGCUUCAGAAAAACAAAAGAGAGACUAAUAAAAGGAUGUCCAGAAGGGAAGACCCAGGCAAAGGGGAAGGGAAGAAAAGAAAAAGAAAACAUUCAAUAAGCCAAAGAAAGAAUAUGUCAGUGAGCAGCUGCUUAGCUCAAGAGGACAACCAGAGAGCCACCUCUGUGAACCAGGCCCUCCAGAGAUAAUGGUCAAUGAACAAGGAAGCAGGCCCUCACCAGCACUGAAACUUCUACACCUUGAUGUUGGACUUUCUAGCCUCCAGAACUAUGAGAAAUAAAUGUUUGUUCUUUGUGC